rnacentral:siRNA from 1 species
AGGGACUUGGUGGUCUUGCGGGUC